rnacentral:rRNA from 1 species
UACGGAGGGGGCUAGCGUUGCUCGGAAUCACUGGGCGGAAAGGGUGCGUAGGCGGGUUUUUAAGUCAGGGGUGAAAUCCUGGAGCUCAACUCCAGAACUGCCUUUGAUACUGAAGAUCUUGAGUCCGGGAGAGGUGAGUGGAACUGCGAGUGUAGAGGUGAAAUUCGUAGAUAUUCGCAAGAACACCAGUGGCGAAGGCGGCUCACUGGCCCGGUACUGACGCUGAGGCACGAAAGCGUGGGGAGCAAACGGG